CAGAGGAAGAAAAGAUGUGGCUCAAAACAUCAGACAGCAGCUGGUCCGGUCGUAAACCACUGUUCGUCCACGUAAACACUCUCUCUCUCUCCCUCUGUCUGAAGUGAGAGAGAAGGAAAGUCAAUCCUUGGUAUUGUUUGUUCAUUUGGCAGAUGCGGACACUGCUUUUGCUGGUGCUUCGAUGGAAGUAGCAGUAUCCUGGAGAAACUCGAGAGAGGGUUGAGGAAUGUUGAGUGAUUAGAAAUGGUUCGCUCGGCUGAAGAUUUUUUGGCCUGGAAGGAUUUUCCCAAGGGACUCAAGGUCAUGCUCUUGGAGAAAGAUGAAUCCUCUGCUUUAGAAACCAAAUCCAAGCUCGAGGCGAUGGAUUACGAAGUUUCACUGUUUCAUAACGAGGAGGAUGCGACGGAAGCAGCUUCAAAGCGAGUCGAGAGUUUCCACGUUGCCAUUGUGGAAGUGACAGAUGGUGAUCAUUGUAGGAAUUUUAAGUUCCUUGAGAUGGUUAAAGACCUUCCCAUCAUUGUUAUUUCUAAUGUUCACUGCCUCAGCACCAUGAUGAAAUGCAUAGCGCUUGGUGCGACAGAGUUUCUUCAGAAACCAAUCUCUGAAGAGAAGCUCAGGAACAUAUGGCAACACGUAGUACACAAGGCCUUCAAUGCAGGGAGCAGCAUGCUUUCCAAAUCCUUGAAGCCCAUCAAAGAUACCGUGGCUUUGAUGCUUCAAACAGAGAAAUCUGAAGAAAAAGAUGAGCAGGAAGGGGCAAGUACAAGCGGCAGGUUAUCAGGACCUACAACUCCCCAGCUGGAACAAGCAGGAAGGUUUCAGCCUUACGCAGAAUUACAGGAAACAACAAACUGCUCGAGUGCUAAUGAAUUGCUAAGCCGUAGGAAGUGCAGUAAUUCAGUCUCAAAGUCCGUCGACAAUACAUGCGAUAAUUCCAUUUGUGUCGCUGCUGCCUUGCCUUCUAAAGCUGAAGACAUUGACGUUGCUGCUGAAGAAGAUGUCAACUCUGCGGAUGGAUCGAAAACGGACGAGUGGAGCGGCGUCAAAGAAGGCUCUGUACCUUGUAAUUCUUCCCGUUUACAUUGCUUAGAUAAGGGGGAGUCAAAUGCGGAUGGGCAAGUGAAGAAACAAUUGCUUCUUAAUUCUUCAUCCUUAAAUGGUGGCAGAAAUAACAGAAAGAAAACAAAGGUCGAUUGGACUCCAGAACUACACAGAAGAUUUGUGAAGGCAGUAGAACAGCUGGGAGUAGAGCAGGCUAUUCCUUCAAAGAUUUUACAGCUAAUGAAGGUGGACGGCUUAACGAGGCACAAUGUAGCAAGUCACUUGCAGAAGUAUCGAAUGCAAAAAAGACACAUAUUGCCGAAAGAUGAAGACCGGAAUCAUAAUCACGAUCAAAAGGGUUCCGUGCCGAGGCCGAUCAUGGCCUACCCUACAUUGCAUCCACACUCAACUCAGAUGUAUCCGGCCGUUUGGGGUCAUCCAAGCUACCAUGGAUAUCAAGUUUGGGGCACUCAUCCAAGAGGCUACACAACGUGGCAGCCACCUACUCAAACUUGGCCCUGGAAAUCAUAUCCUCUGGUUCACGCUGACGCAUGGGGUUGUCCUGUUAAUGUAACACAGUACGAGCAGUAUCCCGUUGCUUCACCAAGGUCCGUGAUGGGUAGUGAUUUCCAAGUGGGCGGAGGGAGGAACGAGAUGCUUGGAGAUGCUUGUGACCUCGAUCAGCAGAUGGAGGAGGUGAUCGACCGUGCCGUGAAAGAGGCAAUCUGCAAGCCGUGGCUGCCCCUCCCUCUGGGUCUCAAGCCGCCAUCCACAGAAGCCGUGCUGGCGGAGCUCCACUCUAAGGAGAUCACCGGAACGCCGUCGGCUGACUGCCGACGGUGAGGGUACCUCAGGGACGAACAGAGUGGGAGAGUGGCUGUGGCUGUGGCACAAUCUACGUGGCCGGAUUUAACGUCUCACAUGAGCAGACAUGGAGAUUUCCACUGCCUUUGCCACACUUCCCUUCCACCUCGAUUCCCUUGUACCAAUUUGCGCAAGCCACGUAGAUCACCAGAUCGAUGCCGCUCAGAACCGCCAACAAGAAGAAGAAGCGGUCCAAGUGCC